ACAAACUUGGUCAUUUAGAGGAAGUAAAAGUCGUAACAAGGUCUCCGUUGGUGAACCAGCGGAGGGAUCAUUACCGAGUUUGCAACUCCCAAACCCCAGUGCGAACCUCUACCUCGACGUUGCCUCGGCGGGGACUCGCCCCGGCGGCGCCCGCAGCAGCGGCGCCCCGGACCACAAGGCGCCCGCUGUAGGACCCCCCCGAAACUCUUUGCAUCAACGGUGGUUUUCUUCUGAGUGGACUCGUCCCCCCGCGAGAGCGGGUGCGAAUGAAUCAAAACUUUCAGCAACGGAUCUCUUGGCUCUGGCAUCGAUGAAGAACGCAGC
rnacentral:misc_RNA from 1 species